UAACCCACGUGUGCUGAUCAUGCAUUGAA
rnacentral:piRNA from 1 species